rnacentral:tRNA from 5 species
CAAAGUGUAGCUUAAAACAAAGCAUCUGGCCUACACCCAGAAGAUCUCAAUUUAAUGAUCACUUUGA